GGGCCACUUUCCAUUGCUAUCUAUUCCUGCCUUGUACAAAUAGCAUUUUACUGGGUGAAGGCAAUUGAGAAGGGAAGUGCAAGAUCUCAGCUGUCUCAAAAGACAGCAGAGGGUGGCUUCUUAGUUUUCUUUUCUUUUUUUCUUUUUAAGAUUUAUGUAUGUAUUUGAGAGUGACAGCGAGAAGGAGAGAGAAAGAGGUGAGAGAGAGAAGAGAGAGUGAGAUGCAUCCAGUGUCUGAAGGAAUUAUGAAGAGGCAGUUGCCAAAAAGCCGAAAUUUGAGAAGAAGAUCUGGAGGUUACCUCAUGACCAAGAAAAUCAAAUACUUCAAGGAACAGAUCGAGAACACAGAAGGGGUGAUCAUCGUCAUUAACAGAAGCAUUUCAAAGGAAUCUAUGAAGAUUCACAUGUUCUUCUCAAGGGAUGUAGGAAUUGUCACCAACUGGAAAAGCUGAAAAAUAUUUGUUAAUUCCUUAAUAACUGGUUCACUGAAUGUCUUGAAUGCUCAGUGUUUUGUGAGUACAGGAUUUUUAGGUUUCUCAUACUUGAUUGUUUUAAAAGACAGAAUAUUAAGCUCUGCAUAGUCAUCAGUUGCUUCUGCAAAAGGGGAGUUCUGAAUCAGCCAAGGUAAAGAGUCACUGUGAUUAAUGCCUGCAAGCCCUAUUACUUUUCAGGCCAUUCUUCUUAUCUACAAGUGAUAUAACUUGGCAGAAAGUCAGAAAAUGAAUGUUUUAAUCAAUCCUGCUUUCAUCUGUGACAGAUCUCUGCCUGAAAAGGAGUGGGCAGUCUCAUGUCCUUCCUAUCCUUUAUCUAUAUUACGGGCUCUUGGACUCCAUUUUCUCUGACAUGGGAGAAGAAUUUAUUCAAAAUAAUGGUUCUCAUUUAGAUAAGGGAGUUAGAUCUAUCACUGUGCCUGGACAGCACAACCAGAACUAAUUCUCUCUCUCUAUUAAACAAAUAAAACAUCACCCUGUGUCUGCCAUUGAAAAAUGUGUGCCAGUAGUUCAAGAUUUAUUAGUUUGUUCAAGCCCCAUUACAAGAAAUCUAAAAUUUCUUCCAUUGUCUAACUCAGAACUUUUACCAUGCAAAAUGGUUUGCAAGUAGAGAAAAGGAAACAAAAAAAUAUUAAAAUAUUUUGUUUCACCUUUACUUUUAUACAUUAAAAAACAAGUUUACGAUCAUUAGUUUUUUUAUUUGAAGGACUAUUUUCUUUAUUUUUCCCCUAGUGUAAUGCUAAACGACUUAGAGAAUAGAGUUUUUUCACUAUUGUUAAAACUGGAAUCUCAUUUAGAAUUUUACCAAUAUAUCUAGUGUCCUGAAAUAAAACAUUAAAUUUGUUUUCUUAUAUUACAAAGUUAUUAAUUAUGACCAUUAUCUGAGUGUGUACCUUAAAUUCUGAAAAAUAGUAUUGCUUCCCUCACUUUAUAAAUGAAGAUACAGAGGCUCAAAGAAGUUUAAAUAAAUUAGUCUUGGUCAUAUAGUGGUUAUUGUUUGGUUUGGAAUUCUAGUCUUUCUAUGUCAAAUGUAAUUGUUGAAGCACAUGAAAAUUUGUUCAACAUCACUAUGUCAUUAUGGAAAUGCAAAUUAAAACCGCAAUGAGAUACCACUUCAUACCCAUUAGGAUGGCUAUUAUGAAAAUAAAAAACAAACAAACAAACAAACAAACAAAAAACCCCCAGAGAAACAAAGCACAGCAAAACAAACCAGAAAAGAACAACUUUGGUAAAGAUGUGGAAAAGUUCAAACUCUU
ensembl:lincRNA